rnacentral:rRNA from 1 species
UAUUUAUGGAGAGUUUGAUCCUGGCUCAGGACGAACGCUGGCGGCGUGCCUAACACAUGCAAGUCGUGCGAUUGAGAGGUGAGCAUCUCACUUCUCAAGAGCGGCGGACGGGUGAGUAAUGCGUGAACAAUCUACCGGCAAGACUGGGACAACACCGGGAAACUGGUGCUAAUACCGGAUAAUCUCCACCGGCGGCAUCGUUGGUGGAGGAAAGUCGGCCUCUGGAUAUGCUGGCGCUUGUCGAUGAGUUCACGUCCCAUUAGCUUGUUGGUGGGGUAACGGCCCACCAAGGCGACGAUGGGUAGCCGGCCUGAGAGGGUGGUCGGCCACACUGGGACUGAGACACGGCCCAGACUCCUACGGGAGGCAGCAGUGGGGAAUCUUCCGCAAUGGGCGCAAGCCUGACGGAGCGACGCCGCGUGAGGGACGAAGGCCUUCGGGUUGUAAACCUCUUUUCUGGGGGAAGAACGUCCGGCCUGUUAAUAGCGGGUUGGGUUGACGGUACCUCAGGAAUAAGCCCCGGCUAACUACGUGCCAGCAGCCGCGGUAAUACGUAGGGGGCGAGCGUUGUCCGGAAUCACUGGGCGUAAAGGGCGCGUAGGCGGCUUGAGAAGUCGCAGGUGAAAUCCCGCGGCUCAACCGUGGAACUGCCUGCGAAACCAUUGGGCUUGAGGACAGGAGAGGGAAGCGGAAUUCCUGGUGUAGCGGUGAAAUGCGUAGAUAUCAGGAGGAACACCAGUGGCGAAGGCGGCUUUCUGGCCUGGUCCUGACGCUGAGGCGCGAAAGCUAGGGGAGCAAACAGGAUUAGAUACCCUGGUAGUCCUAGCUGUAAACGAUGGGCACUAGGUGUUGGGGGGUUCAUACCCUUCAGUGCCGUAGGUAACCCAAUAAGUGCCCCGCCUGGGGAGUACGGUCGCAAGACUGAAACUCAAAGGAAUUGACGGGGGCCCGCACAAGCGGUGGAGCAUGUGGUUUAAUUCGAUGCAACGCGAAGAACCUUACCAGGGUUUGACAUGUCGGUGGUACGGAGUGGAAACACGAAGGACCCUUCGGGGAGCCGGUACAGGUGGUGCAUGGUUGUCGUCAGCUCGUGCCGUGAGGUGUUGGGUUAAGUCCCGCAACGAGCGCAACCCUUACUUCUAGUUGCCAGCGGGUUAAGCCGGGCACUCUAGAGGGACUGCCGUCGACAAGGCGGAGGAAGGUGGGGAUGACGUCAAAUCAUCAUGCCCUUUAUACCCUGGGCUACACACGUGCUACAAUGGCCGGUACAGCGGGAAGCUAAGGCGUGAGCUGGAGCAAAUCCCAAAAAGCCGGUCCAAGUUCGGAUUGCAGGCUGCAACUCGCCUGCAUGAAGUCGGAAUCGCUAGUAAUCGCAGGUCAGCAUACUGCGGUGAAUGCGUUCCCGGGCCUUGUACACACCGCCCGUCACACCACGAAAGUCGGCAACACCCGAAGUCGGUGACCCAACCCGUUCGGAGGUUGGAGGUCAGAAGUUGGAGGUUGGACUGGGAAGGACAUUGGGGUCGAGAGGAGUUUUUGAAGAGGGAUUCUGAAAGAUCCUAAAGGAAUGCCCGGAUCUGACAUCCGAUAUCCGGCUUCCGACUUCCGAAUGGGAGGGAGCCGCCUAAGGUGGGGUCGGUGAUUGGGGUGAAGUCGUAACAAGGUAGCCGUACGGGAACGUGCGGCUGGAUCACCUCCUUUCU